UUGUCUGGCUCUCUCCGGCGAUCCCCUCUUGGCGUUGGUGGUGCGCCUGAGCCUCCGACUGCUGCCACCCCGGCCGAUGCCGGCCGCCCCAGGAUCCGCCGAUCUCCGGGGAGGCUCCGCCUCAACUUGAAUUGGAAGGAGAACUCGCCGGUGGUCUACGACCUCGUCAUCUCUCAUCUGCUGGAGUUUCUCUUGCUCACCAUCCAGUGGCGUCCGUCGGAGUCCCAGGCCGCCCCCCGUUCCCACGAGAUCGUUUAAAGCUCCCUGAACCACCGCAUGCUCGUGGUCGCCGUCCUUCCGCUUCCGGUAGUGGAUGCGCAACUUGUGUUUGAGGCUCACGAGGAUUUGGUUGAUGACGUUGUUUGGCACCGGAAAGAUGAGAAUUGACAACCUAUUUGGAUUUGUUGUUGGUGACUACAAGCUCAUGAUUUGGGAUUUGCGUACAAACAAACUAGAUAAUCUGUCGCUGCACACUAAAAGGAACUAAUAGUUCUGUCUUCCUCCUCUCCUCCGGGGCUGCGCUGGGACGCGGUGGACUGGAGUGGGGGGUGGAACCACGGCGACACGGCUGCGCUGGCGACCAAGCAAAGUCGGCCAGGCUAGGGUUAGUCGUGGGGGCUCAAGCAGGUGCAGGGCAGCGUCGAGAAGAACGGAAAACGGAGGAGGAGGUUGAGGCGGAGCCUCGACAGAGAGCGACGGCGCCAGGGACGGUCGGCAUCGGCCGGGGCGGCAGCAGUCAGCGGCUCGAGCGCAUCGUCAAGAGGGAAUUGCUGGAGAGAGCCAGGGAAGGGGAUGGCCGUUUUGUAAAAUUGCCCUCCUCUAGGAGGGUAUUCUUAUCUCCUUGUUAAAUUACCUGCUAGUGGGUCCCACUCAGCGCCACGUCAACAAAUACAACACCACGUCUUGAGCGGUGACCGCGUGUGAAGCUUCGAUGCGUAUUCAAUGACCGUAAAUUUGUAUUCUGUUUGUACAAUGACCAAAGUGAUUUUGCUUGACAA